AAACCACGAAAUUUCCACGAAGUCCAACUACGAAAGCUCCAUGCCCCCACUCGGUCGGAUGACGCGAGGUGACCGGCGAGGGUGGGGAGAUCAACUAGUGGGGAUUAGGAUAAAUGGGAAAGGAUGCGAGGAGGAAGACGCGUUUCGGUGGUCGCUGGCUAUGCUGACAUGAUGUGAACAGAGCAUGUGUAGUAGUAAAGAAAGGAAGAACUCCACUAUCCAUCUGCUUAUCUUGUGUUCCUGACAAGCCAAGACCAUGUCUUCCCUUUCCUUCCAGUGUUCGGUUUCUUUAGAUCUGAGUUGAAGGCUCUGUCCAUCAAUCUUCUUCCGCCGCCCGUACUACGUUGUCUCCUUAGCCAUCGCUGCGGUCCAUCUUCGUUCUUCUUAAGUCCGUCGUUUUAAGUUUAUCAAAUAAAAAAAAUUAUUAAAAAAAAUAAAAAUAAUUCAAUACAUUUACAUAUUUUUUUCUCUUAUUUAUACAUGUUAAAUGAAAGAAUUUUCCUCAACAAAAUAAACAGAUUUAUUAGAAAAUCUUAUUUCUAUCACUGCCGACCUCUCCACGAUCUGGACCAAUGACCCCUCCCAGCUGCGGCGCACCGUCAGCUUCGAGGACGGCUCCCAGGUCCGCUCCAUCCUCCUCCGACGCAGCCCUAACUUCUUCGGCCCCACCUUCGCCUGCGGCUUCUACUGCAAAGAUGCCUGUACCUCCUUCCUCUUCGCCGUAUUCGCCGUCUACACCAACAGCGGCGGUGGUAUCACCAUGACCAACUUGGCUCCUCCCCAGGUCGUCUGGUCCGCCAACCGCGAUCGCCUCGUCGGGACGAACGCCACACUCCACCUGACCGCAGGCGGCGAUUUGAUCCUCCGUGGCGCCGACGGCACGGCCGUCUGGUCGGCCGGCAGGUCCGUCGUCGGGAUGAACAUAACGGAGUCUGGAAUUCUAGUGCUUUUCGAUCAAGAUGGCAAGCUGGUCUGGCAAUCCUUCGAUCAUCCAACGGAUUCGUUGGUUCUCGGGCAGACGCUCAACGAGGGGCAGAGGCUUGCAGCCAACACCUCCGUGACCAACUGGACGCCAGGUCAGGUAUACCUAACCAUUCUUUCCGAUGGCUUGUAUGCGUUUGCUGAUUCUACUCCUCCUCAGCUUUACUAUCAGAACACAAUUACUGGCAUUAAAACAACAAAAAAUUCGACAUCUAUUAAGUACCUCAAUGGCAUUAAGUACCUCAAAGGCAGCCUUGCAAUGUUCACACAGUCUGGUACGCCGGAUGAAUCGAUCUCAUUGCCUGUAGCAUUGUCACUUCAGUUUAUGAGGUUUGAGUCUGAUGGGCAUCUCAAACUUUACAAAUGGAGCCAAGGAUGUCAGGUGAUUGCAUGUUCUUCACUUGGAUGUUUGUGCUUACCCGACCGUCUGGCGGAGAGUAUGGAAUUUGUUCGAAUGGACAAUGCAGUUGCCCCAGUGGAGUGAAUGGUUCGAUCUACUUCCGGUUGAUCGAUGAUAGGAAAUCCAACCUGGGUUGCUCCUCUGUGAAUCCUCUGUCCUGCCAAUCCAUGCAAGAUCAUGGUGUCUUACCUGCUCAUGAUGUUUCUUACUUCAGUUAUGCUUACGGUGCUGCGAACUUUCGAGGAAUUGAUGAGGAGAGUUGCAAGCAAGCAUGCUUGAAGAAUUGUUCUUGCAGGGCUGCUCUUUUUCAAUACUCUGGAAAUGUUUCAGAUGGCAAUUGUUUUCUGCCAUUGCAACUCUUUUUGUUGCAGAACAACCAGCCUUCCACAUCUCAUUAUAAUUCAUCUGCAUAUAUUAAGGUGCAGAACAUUGUUGCGUCUCCUGCAUCUAAUAAUACUAAAAAGAAGGAUGUCGGUAUCGGAGUUUCAAUAGGUAUUAUUGGAGCUGUGCUUAUUGCAUCUCUCAUCGGGGGCAUGAUCAUCAGAUAUGUUUGGAGAAAAAGGUCCACAGAAGAGGAAGAGGAUGACUUCCAGCAAGUACAGGGAAUGCCAACAAGGUUCGCUUUCGAGGAGCUGAAAUUAGCGACAGAAAAUUUCUCAAAAAGCUUGGUGAAGGAGGGUUUGGGACUGUUUACCAGGGGAAGAUAGGGGAUGAAAAGGUUGCAGUGAAGCGUUUGGAUGGAGUCGGUCAAGGGAAGAGAGAAUUCUUAGCAGAAGUUGAGACAAUUGGUAGCAUUCAUCAUAUCAACCUGGUAAGGCUAAUUGGAUUCUGUGCAGAGAAAUCACAUAGGCUCCUUGUCUAUGAAUACAUGUGCAAUGGAUCAGUUGAUAGGUGGAUCUUCAGCAAAGGUCAACAUAGCACUCUUAAUUGGCAUAUGAAACGUAAGAUAAUUGUCGAUAUAGCAAAGGGAUUGUCUUAUCUUCAUGAAGAAUGCAGGCAAAGAAUUGCUCAUUUGGAUAUCAAGCCUCAAAAUAUACUCUUAGAUGACAGAUUCAAUGCCAAGGUCUCUGAUUUUGGACUGUCCAAGUUGAUAGACAGAGAUCAGGAGCAAGUGAUGACUAGAAUGAGAGGGACACCGGGGUAUCUGGCACCUGAAUGGUUGACAUCAAUAAUCACUGAAAAGGUCGAUAUAUACAGUUUCGGCGUUGUGAUCAUUGAAAUUGUUUGUGGAAGAAAGAAUUUGGACUACUAUCAGCCCAAAGAAAGCGUUCACCUGAUCAGUAUCCUUCAAGAAAUGAUCGAAUCAGAUCAAUUGGAAGACAUCAUCCAUGCUCAUAGUGAUACCAAGCUGCAUGCAAAAGAAGCCACUGAGAUGAUCAAACUAGCAGUAUGGUGCUUACAGAGAGACAGCAACAAAAGACCUUCCAUGUCGACCGUGGUAAAGGUUUUGGAAGGCGCAAGGAAUGUAGAAACUGUUCUAGACUACAAUUUUUUUGCAAAUACCCCCAUAAUGCCGAGGAAUAGGGAUCAUUAUGAUUACCAUUUGGCUGCUUCACCUGCACCAUCUGCAUCUCUUUUAUCAGGUCCAAGAUGAAAGACCAAAUUGGCAAGGGCAGCUCAUUGUGUUGGCAUGUUCAAAGCAUGUUAACUUGUGUUCAGCUAUGUAAUCUCUCAUUGAACCCUCGGUAACCUGAGUCAUCUUAAAAUAAAAAGGCAUGCAGUGGUUGUUCUCCA